GUGGGGAAUCUUCCGCAAUGGACGAAAGUCUGACGGAGCAACGCCGCGUGAGUGAUGAAGGUCUUCGGAUUGUAAAGCUCUGUUAAUCGGGACGAAAGAGCCUAGUGUGAAUAAUGCUAGGAAGUGACGGUACCGGAAUAGAAAGCCACGGCUAACUACGUGCCAGCAGCCGCGGUAAUACGUAGGUGGCAAGCGUUGUCCGGAAUUAUUGGGCGUAAAGCGCGCGCAGGCGGAUCUGCCAGUCUGUCUUAAAAGUUCGGGGCUUAACCCCGUGAUGGGAUGGGAACUAUCUUUCUUGAGUGCAGGAGAGUAAAGUGGAAUUCCUAGUGUAGCGGUGAAAUGCGUAGAUAUUGGGAAGAACACCGGUGGCGAAGGCGACUUGCUGGCCAGCAACUGACGCUGAGGCGCGAAAGCCAGGGGAGCAAACGGGAUUAGAAACCCGUGUAGUCC
rnacentral:rRNA from 1 species